UAGUUUGAUCCUGGCUCAGAUUGAACGCUGGCGGCAUGGCUAAAACAUGCAAGUCGAGCGCGAAAGAGGGAGCAAUCCCUCUAGUAGAGCGGCGAAAGGGUGAGUAAUACGUUUCUAUGUACCCCGAGGUCAGGGAUAGCUCAGGGAAACUUGAAUUAAUACCUGAUGUGGUCGCCGGGUCAAACCGGCCAUCAAAGGCUUGCCGCCUUGGGAGCAGGGAACGUCCUAUCAGGUAGUUGGUGAGGUAAUGGCUCACCAAGCCAUUGACGGGUAGCGGGUGUGAGAGCAUGGCCCGCCACAUCGGGACUGAGACACUGCCCGGACUCCUACGGGAGGCUGCAGUAACGAAUCUUCCGCAAUGCGCGCAAGCGUGACGGAGCAAUGCCGCGUGCAGGAUGAACCCCUUCGGGGUGUAAACUGCUGUCAGGGAUUAGGAACACAAUGACCAGUCCCAAAGGAAGAGACGACUAACUCUGUGCCAGCAGUCGCGGUAAUACAGAGGUCUCGAGCGUUAGUCGGAUUCAUUGGGCUUAAAGCGUACGUAGGCGGACAUGCGGGCGUCGUGUGAAAGCCCUCGGCUCAACCGAGGAACUGCACGGCGAACCGCAUGUCUUGAGAUCGGUAGGGGCGGUCGGAACGA
rnacentral:rRNA from 1 species